rnacentral:lncRNA from 1 species
GGCGUAUCAAACAAGCUUGUGCGUGCCUGCUAAGUCACUUCAGUCGUGGCCCGCCAGGUUCCUCUGUGCAUGGGAUUUCCCAGGCAAGAAUACUGGAGUGGUUGCCAUUUCCUUCUCCAGGGGAUCUUCCCAACCCAGGGAUUGAACCCACAUCUCUUAUGUCUCCUGCAUUGGCAAGGAGGUUCUUUAUGCCACUAGGUCCACCUGGGAAGCCCACUAAAUGAGCUAAGACUGCGGCAAAUUAACCCAGGAAAGCACACGCAUUCCCUAAUUGGAGAGGCCUUCCGCAAACACCCUCAGAGGCCCAGGCGCAAGCUUCCGCCGCCAGUCUGUCCGCUCUCAGGCCGGGGUAGGGGGACACGCGCGAGGUUCGGCUGUGUCCACGGUCCAGCCACUGCACAAGCCGGCCGUCUCCCAGAGUUCUGAGUAAUCGCCGGAAGCCCGGCCAGAAUCAAAGCGGACGCGAAGCAUCCACCCAGCUGGAAGAGCCGCCGCCGCCGGGGAAGCAGGAAUCUCCCAGAUACCCAGUGUGGGGGCGCUCCCGAGCCCUCGGGGUCCCCCGGCGGCCUCCUGGAGCCUGGAGCUCAGGCGGAGAGAUGCAGGGACGGCGGGAGGCCGGAGGCAGCCGUGGUCAGGGAAGCGAGGGGACCAGAAGGACCACCGGAGGUGUCCGGGCGGAAGGGCCGCGGGGCUGGGGUCGCCCCGGUCCCCGCCGCACCCUGGGGACCCCGGCCCGCUUGGUUUGGGCCUCAAAGAGCACCAAAGUUGUCUGGCCAUCUGGUCGACCUUUCGGCGGUGCUUGCCUGACUACAACCAAACAUGAACACAAAUCUGGAUCGCAGGGCAGAGAAGGCAGAGCACCACCACUCCGCACUCGUUUCUCUUACCUAAGUGUUCUCCCGUCCGCGCGCGUUCAGACGCCCUUCCAGGACUACACACUGCACCAGGCUCGCGUCUCCUUGGUACCCUCAGCGAACGGCCCGGGCCGCUUUCUGGGUCUCAAACAUUUGGCGCCUCUGACCACCGAUCCCGUGCAGGACUAA